GCUUACGGCCAUACCACCCUGAACACGUCUCGAUCUCGGAAGCUAAGCAGGGUCGGGCCUGGUUAGUACUUGGAUGGGAGACCGCCUGGGAAUACCAGGUGCUGUAAGCU
rnacentral:rRNA from 1 species